rnacentral:lncRNA from 1 species
UUCUCCAUCAUCUACCCUCUUCAAUCAUCAUCAUCUUCAAUCAGAACAAGCAAUCAAUCAAUCUCAAGUGAAAUGGUGUCCAAUUUUUUUUAAACAUAUUAUCCAGAUACAAAACUCAUGGAUUUGUAAUUUGUUACCGAUCACCAAUAUUAUCGCUUUAUAGCAGCAGUUAAGUUGUUAUUAUCCCUUUAUGUACAAAAAUCUAGGAGGGGGUUAAAUCUUUAUAUUUUCUGAAGGUGAAGAAAUUAUGAAAACGUACCCGCAACUCUUUUAGAUGCGGCAACAACUCCCAGAUCCCCAUCACAGCAAUAUCUUCCAUUGGAAAAAGGGAUUUCAAUCCCUGCUUUGCCAUCAUAGAUCUGAAAUACGACAAAAUUAAUAUAUGUGUUUAACUAUCUUCCUUGGGAUAUUAGACUUUAUUUUCUAAGAUUUGUAUUUUGUUAUGUGGAUUUUCAUCUUCAGGAAUUUAGGGGGUGUUUGGAUGUUGUUUAUGUGGGGAUGAUGAUGAUGAUGAUCUUGGUUAGAUUUUGUGUUUGAAGUUUAUGUGGGGAUGAUGAUGAUGAUGAUGGUUGAAGAUGAUGAUGUUCGUUAAAGAUCUGGGUUAGAUUUAAUUGAAGAUAUGGGGAUGAUGAUGAUGGUUGAAAUGAUGAUCUUGUUACCCAGAUCUUCAAAAACAUCUUCAAACCACUAUGUGUGUUAUGUGGGGUGAAAAUGGAGACAAAGAUGAUGAUGUUUGGUUGAAGAUCUGGGAGGUGAAAAUGGGAAGUUGGGGUUAGUGUUUUGAGAAAGUGGAGGGGAAGGAAAGAGAUGAAGAUGAUGAUGUUUGGUUGAAGAUCUGGGAUUUUUUUUUUACAAAGUCAUUAAAAAGGAGGUGAAAUUACAAUUUUACCCAUCAUGUGCAAUCCAUGUGACCAAGAAGUUAACCAAAGUUGGGGUUUGGUUAUAAUUAGGGGCCAAAAUGGUUAGAUAUAGGGACCAUAGGGGUAGAUACGUUAAAAUUUCUUAUUUUGGGCUAAUAUAGUAAAACUGACAUAACCACAUGGGCCAAAAACGUAAUUUACUCAAAAAAAAGUUAAAUUUCAUUUUAGUCCCUGUGGUUUGGGUUAUUUUAACAGUUUAUUUCGAAUAUUUUAUUUUUUGCAUGUGGAUCUGAAAAGGUUUCAACGUUGGCAUUUUAGUCCACUGGGUUAACUUCAUCAAUUUUUUUUUUUUGUUAACGAGAACAGCAACUCGGUCAUUUUAUAUGUAAUUCUGUGAACUAGAAAGACAAUUCGAUCAUAUAAAAUGACCGAACUACCUUUUUCGUUAACAAAAAUAAUGGAUGAAUUUAACCGAUUGGACUAAAAUGGUAACGGUUAAACCUUUAUGGACCCACAAACAAAA